AAUCAACGCCUGGCGGCGUGCCUAACACAUGCAAGUCGAACGCCUGGAGGGGAGCAAUCCCUGAAGGGAGUGGCGAACGGGUGAGUAACACGUGGGUGACCCGCCCUGGGGUGGGGAAUAACUUGGCGAAAGGCGAGCUAAGACCGCCUAAGCCCUGCAGGUCGAAGUGGAGGGGAAAGCCGGGUCAAACCGGCGCCGCAGGAGGGGCCCGCGGCCGAUUAGCUAGUUGGUAGGGUAAGGGCCUACCAAGGCGACGAUCGGUAGCCGGUCUGAGAGGACGGACGGCCACACUGGAACUGAGAGACGGUCCAGACUCCUACGGGAGGCAGCAGUGGGGAAUUUUGCGCAAUGGGGGAAACCCUGACGCAGCAACGCCGCGGGGGGAAGAAGGUUUUCGGAUUGUAAACUCCUGUCCGGGGGGAAAAGGAAGUGAUGGUACCCUUGGAGGAAGCCCCGGCUAACUCCGUGCCAGCAGCCGCGGUAAUACGGGGGGGGCGAGCGUUGUUCGGAAUGACUUGGGCGUAAAGGGCGGGUGGGCGCCUGGGAAGGCUCCCGGUGAAAGUCCCCGGCGUAACCGGGGGAGGUCCUGAGAACCCCCGAGGCUGGGAGUGCUGGGAGAGGGAGGGGGGAAUUUCCCCGGUGGGAGCCGGUGAAAUGCGUAGAGAUCCGGGAGGAACACCAGAGGCGUAGGCGGCUCCUGGACAGACACUGACGCUGAGGCGCGAAAGCCAGGGGAGCAAACGGGAUUAGAUACCCCGGUAGUCCUGGCUGUAAACGAUGGUCACUAGGCGUGGGGGGUGCGAAAGUCCUUUCUGUGCCGCAGGUAACUGAUAAGUGACCCGCCUGGGGAGUACGGCCGCAAGGCUGAAACUCAAAGGAAUUGACGGGGGCCCGCACAAGCGGUGGAGCAUGUGGUUUAAUUCGACGCAACGCGAAGAACCUUACCGGGGUUUGAACUGCCGAGGCAACCGCGCGAGAGCGCGGGUUCUCCGCAAGGGGACUUUGGCAGAGGUGCUGCAUGGCUGUCGUCAGCUCGUGUCGUGAGAUGUUGGGUUAAGUCCCGCAACGAGCGCAACCCUUGUCGGUAGUUGCCCACAGGUGAAGCUGGGAACGCUACCGAGACUGUCGGCGAAAAGCCGGAGGAAGGUGGGGAUGACGUCAAGUCCUCAUGGCCUUGAUGCCCCGGGCUACACACGUGCUACAAUGGGCGGCACAAAGGGGAGCCAACCUGCGAGGGAGAGCGAAUCCCAAAAAGCCGUUCCCAGUUCGGAUCGCAGUCUGCAACUCGACUGCGUGAAGGUGGAAUCGCUAGUAAUCGCGGAUCAGCAUGCCGCGGUGAAUACGUUCCCGGGCCUUGUAC
rnacentral:rRNA from 1 species